rnacentral:lncRNA from 1 species
GAUUGUGGCGCGUCGCUGUGGCCCACGAAAUCGGGCUCCCAGUUAUUCUAAUACUCGUCUCAUUAAGGAUAUUUGGGGUAUUUUCCAACCCUUUAUCAUCUCUAACACGGGAUUUAAUCCCAAGAACCUCAAAGUAAGUGUAUUUUCAUCAAAAUCUCUCAAGAAACUCCACUAGGGUUUCAAACUAAAAAUCCUCAUAGCUCAGGAUUUAACCGUGAGUUUUAGAAGAUAAUUGGAGAUUUGGAAUCCUCGCAUCGUAGGCUUCAAGGAGCAUCCUUUAAUUUCUGAAAUAGAGGUACGUGGGGUUGUCCUAAAUUUCAUGAGCAUGAUUUUGAAAAGAAUUUACACAAGACUUUACUAUCUAUACAUUUACAUAUGCUUUUACAAGUGGGGUUUUGUUUUAAUAUCAAUAACUUGUUUUGUGAUAUGAUUUUUGAAAGAAAUAUUGAAAUAUCAUGGGGUUGUCUGUUUGAAUAUAUGUCCAUGGUUGAAUUGUGAACAUGUGAUCUGAAUUUCGAAAGGAUGUAAUGUGUAUAGAUUGUGAAUUCUUUAAAUCCCCCAUGAUAAUGUCUUAUACCCCAUAUUACACUUGUGUUAAACUAUUGAGAGCAUGAGUUUUGUAAUUGAUAUGAUAGUACUCAUAAAUGAUGAAGCUUCUUGAACUAUUACAUGUUGAGAACUAUGGUGUAUGUGUUUGAUGUGUGUGAAAGUCUUAUAUAUGUGUGUGGUGUAAAUGGCAUGAGAAAUUGGAGAAUUGAUGUGAUACUGAUGACUUGAAAGUCGGGUAUGACGAUACCCUGCAGAGUAUGAUAUGUGAUUGAUUGAAUUGAGCUUAAUGCUUGAUUUUAUGUGAGUUAGGUGGUUACUCGAAGAAAGCUCGGGUCGAAUGACUCUAUGCUGGAAAUCGUGAAUUGCCGACACGGAAAACUUGGUACCAUGCUGUGUGAUCUUGUGUACCUAAUAAUGUGUUCUCUCUAUUUGGGACAAAUGGUUAGGAGCCCUGCUUUGUGAUCUUGAGCCCGACCCUGACACAUGGACUUGAUUUGGAUGGAGACACCCUGCUGUGCGAUCUCGUGUGUCUUUCUCUCCCCACUAAUACUCAGGUCUUGACGGCAAUCGGGAUUUGACAGUUGAAGGGUGUACCACCUAGCUCAAUCGUGUUACCUUUUUGUUGAAAAAUCAUUAUACUAUGCCCAUGUGUUUUUGAACUAUUUUACGAUAACAUGUUUUCUAGCAUCUCUCAUUUAUGUUGUAUAAAAACCUCUAUUUCAUUUUUGGAUUACUCUACGUACCAGUACAUCUGUAUUGACCCCCUCCUUCCUCCAG